rnacentral:snRNA from 1 species
AUACUUACCUGGCAGGGGAAAUACCAUGACCACCAAGGUGGUUUUCCUAGGGCCAGCAUGAGAUGUGAUGUCCUACUUGCUUUUGAGUGGUGACCCUUGUCAUUUCCCCCUGUGCCCAUCUUGGUCUUUUGGCUAAGAUUAAGCAUUUUUGGCACUAUGGAGAAGGUGUCAGGGAUGGCUCUGGCCC